ACCUCAAAUCAGGUAAGAAUACCCGCUGAACUUAAGCAUAUCAAUAAGCGGAGGAAAAGAAAAUAACAAUGAUUCCCUCAGUAACGGCGAGCGAAGAGGGAUAAGCUCAAAUUUUAAAUCUGUUGGGUUCCACUUAACAGAGUUGUAUUUUGAAGAAACGUUUUCUGCAUCCAGGAUUAGCCUAAAUCCUUUGGGAUAAGGUAUCAUGGAGGGUGAGAAUCCCGUUCAUGGUUAAUCUUAAGGAAGCUCUACGAUACGUUUUCCAAGAGUCGAGUUGUUUGGGAUUGCAGCUCAAAAUGGGAGGUAAAUUUCUCCUAAGGCUAAAUAUUGGCGAGAGACCGAUAGCGAACAAGUACCGUGAGGGAAAGAUGAAAAGAACUUUGAAAAGAGAGUUAAACAGUACGUGAAAUUGUUGAAAGGGAAACGAUUGAAGUCAGUCAUACCAACGGGAAAUCAACCUUUUGAGCUCGGUCUCGUGGGUUUUGAAGAGUUUCAAAGCCUUCGGAUUCGCGGGAUUGGGAUCUCUUGGUGUACUUUUUCGUACGGUUAGUCAACAUCGGUUUUGAAUGUCAUAAAAUGACUGGAGGAAUGUAGCUUCGAUCUCGUAUUGAAGUGUUAUAGCCUUUGGUAGAUGUGAUGUUUGAGACCGAGGAUUGCAACGGAUACCCUUCAGGGCUAUUCGUCUGAUCUCUGAUACGUUGCCUUGAUGUUGAAAGCUUGCUUAUGAUGUUAGGGUAUUACGGUCAAAAGGUUAGAACGAAUUAGAUUCGUUAAGGAUGUUGACGUAAUGACUUUAAACGACCCGUCUUGAAACACGGACCAAGGAGUCUAACAUAUGUGCGAGUGUUU
rnacentral:rRNA from 1 species